rnacentral:rRNA from 1 species
GACAUGGCAGGAAUCCUAAAGAGAUUGGGAGUGCUCGAAGAGAACCUGCACACAGGUGCUGCAUGGCUGUCGUCAGCUCGUGUCGUGAGAUGUUGGGUUAAGUCCCGCAACGAGCGCAACCCUUGCCAUUAGUUGCUACGAAAGGGCAACUCUAAUGGGACUGCCGGUGACAAACCGGAGGAAGGUGGGGAUGACGUCAAGUCCUCAUGGCCCUUAUAGGUGGGGCUACACACGUCAUACAAUGGCCGGUACAGAGGGUAGCCAACCCGCGAGGGGAGCCAAUCCCACAAAGCCGGUCGUAGUCCGGAUCGCAGUCUGCAACUCGACUGCGUGAAGUCGGAAUCGCUAGUAAUCGCGGAUCAGCAUGUCGCGGUGAAUACGUCCGGUCU